UACGUAGGGGGCUAGCGUUGUCCGGAAUCAUUGGGCGUAAAGAGCGCGUAGGCGGCCAGAUAAGUCCGGUGUGAAAGUCAAAGGCUCAACCUUUAAAUGCCGCUGGAAACUGUCUGGCUAGAGUCCGGGAGGGGCGAGUGGAAUUCCUGGUGUAGCGGUGAAAUGCGCAGAUAUCAGGAGGAACACCAAUGGCGAAGGCAGCUCGCUGGAACGGUACUGACGCUGAGGCGCGAAAGCGUGGGGAGCGAACAGG
rnacentral:rRNA from 1 species